rnacentral:rRNA from 1 species
AUGAACGCUGGCGGCGUGCCUAACACAUGCCAGUCGCACGAAGCACCUUACCUGAUUCUUCGGAUGAAAGUUUGGUGACUGAGUGGCGGACGGGUGAGUAACGCGUGGGUAACCUGCCCUGUACAGGGGGAUAACAGCUGGAAACGGCUGCUAAUACCGCAUAAGCGCACGAGGAGACAUCUCCUUGUGUGAAAAACUCCGGUGGUACAGGAUGGGCCCGCGUCUGAUUAGCUGGUUGGCAGGGUAACGGCCUACCAAGGCAACGAUCAGUAGCCGGUCUGAGAGGAUGAACGGCCACAUUGGAACUGAGACACGGUCCAAACUCCUACGGGAGGCAGCAGUGGGGAAUAUUGCACAAUGGGGGAAACCCUGAUGCAGCAACGCCGCGUGAGUGAAGAAGUAUUUCGGUAUGUAAAGCUCUAUCAGCAGGGAAGAUAAUGACGGUACCUGACUAAGAAGCUCCGGCUAAAUACGUG